AGUGCAAAGACGUAUGUUUUACAGUUCACUUCUACAACCCUAUGAAGUUAUUCACCUUGUGAAGAAGCACUGGAGAUUUCCUAAUAUGAACCAUUAAGGCAACUGCCACAAAGAGAGAUGGGUGGGAGAAGAGGGUUCUAGAAGCUGAGUGCUUUUUCCUGUGUUCCACGUGCUCUCCACCACCUCCAGAUUUCACCCCCUGCUUCACUGAUAGAUUUGCUGCCUGUGGCUUUGGCAAACUUCUUUUUAUUUUCAUAUCAGUGUUGUAAUAAAAGUUUAGCAUUUUUGAUUUGCUGAUCACAUUCUUCCUUGUGACAAUGGCCAAUAUUUGAUUGUCUCCAUUAUACUGGUUUCACUGUGUAUGCCCUGAAAGAUACAGGAUGAAUGUCACAAAUCAUGUUCUUUUUUUCUUUUAAGUGUUUUUCAGUUUGGAGCAAUAAAGCCUUCAUUCUUCAAGUGAUAUUUUCAGAUACACUUGUCUUUGUUUUUUGCUUUAUUUCUAGGCUAUCUCAUAUUUUUAGGCUUUUAUUCUCUCAAUAGUUUUGGAAAUACUUAUGAUUUCUAGAACCUGCUUCUUAAUACAUCAUGACAUCUUUAAAGUGUUGCAAUACCAUGACAGCAAAAAUGUGGGGAAAACCUUCUAAGUAGCAGUUAGCAAUUUGUCCUAAAUAGUCCUUCAGCAUUUUUUUACACAUCACCCACUAUCACCUUUUAUUUUUCCCAGUUCACUGUAGCUUUUCUAUGAUACAACUUUUUGCUUAUUUCUAGCACAUUAAAGAUUCCAGGAGAAUAAAAUAUGUUUCCAGAUAAAAUAAGAGUCUUGCUCUCUUGGGAAAUGCAGACCCAGUAAGAAUGAGACAGAUCCCUUUUGUUUGAUGUUGGUUGCUCUUCUGGGAUCACUUACUGAUUCCAUCUGUAGUUAUUUCUCUUUAUUAAAUGCCUGAGUAUUGAAUCACAAACAGACUGCUUUUGAUACAACUGGAAAAUGUGAAUGCUUGUGCUUAACUUUAGGUUUUUUGUGUGUUUUUUCUUAUAGUCUCACAUUAGGUUUCAUUCAUCCAUUCACUUAACAUUUAUGGAACACCCAAGGGGCUGUGGGAGGGUGUUGGCACAACUCUACAAUCUGGAAGAAAUGAAGAGACACGGGGAGCCUGACAAACACAAAGAAAAAUAGCCCUGUAUUCCUUGUUUGGGAGGGACCUAUUCUUUUUGGUAUCAUAGAUAAGAAAGAGCAUUGAAGGAGAAGCUCCCUUUCACUUUAAAGGGUGUUUUGUGCAUAUAUAAGACUCCCGGAGGGGCCAGAGAGAAAAGAUUUAGAUUCUAAUGAGAGUGGGUGAGGCUGAAUGUAACAGAGAAAAAGUCUGAUGUUAAAAAUAUCUCAACAGGAAUAAACAAACAGCAUCAGCUGUGUCUCAUUAUACAGUCUGUGAAGGCUGUAGAGGGUAGGCUGGGGAAGAAAAGGGUUGAUCCAGAAGUGAAAUAAACACUGAUUAAUAUUUGGAAUGCAUGAGGGAUUCACAAUCUAAAUAGAAACAAAAGCAUGAUCUCUGUGCUGCUGGAUUUGGGAUCAGCCAGAAACAGGAGUGAGCUGUAACCUCCUACUGCACUGGUGACUCUCAAGAGUAUAAACAAGACCACUCCAAAAGUAGCAAUGAAACUCCUAGAGACCAACAAAGUAUCACAUAGCGAGUUAUUUUCUUACUGCUUUAUGAAGUAGCUUACAAUUGCAUCCAGUUAUUACAAAGAGACAUUGCAGUAGGGGAAAAACAAUUUUUAGAAGUCUAUUGUGGUAGAGCUUUAACUCAUAAAAAUAAAAUCCUGCUACAAUAAAAACAUAAAUGGACAUAAGCUACAAUUAUAAAUUAAGUAAUUUUCUUAAGUAAAUAUUACUUUAUGCUCACAGAUAAUUGUAGAGAUAGAUUCCUUGAGAAUUUAAAGUCCUUGCUCAGGUAUCUAAGCAAGUAUAAAAAUGUGUAAGGAGUUUCUUCCCCAGCCCAUUUUCAACACUUUUCUAAAUUGUAUGUAGGUACUUUAGCUUUCAUGAGACUCUAUAUGUAGUCUGUCAUUUUACUGUGAAAAUCUCAAUUGCUUUCAGAUCUGGAAAAGACAUGUUCUAAACUUAUAGCCUAAGUUCUAAAAAAACAACUAAAAAAAUUCUGUAGAGUUAUAUAUUCAUUCCUUAUAUUUUGCAGAGGAUUGGAUUUCUACUUUAUUAUAGCAAUGCCAACGUAUGUAGGUAAGAGCUAUUAGAUAUUGGGUAUUUUAAAGAAAAUUAGGAACUGAUGCAGAAGCAAAAUAAGUAGAGAACAUUAUUAACAUGUGAAAAAAGAAGAAAAGAACAGAGAAAUGGCAGCAAACCCAAUAAACAAACAUAUAAUUUUGGUAAGCCUCAGUGCCACCACAACUACUGAAAUGUAACCAUAUACACUUUUACCUCCACAAACCACAGUAAUUAUAAUGAAUAUAUUUUAAAUGAUUCCAAUUUGGGAGACAGUGAACUACAUCAAAGUUUUUUUUCUGAUAUGUACAUUUGCUAUUUUGAAAUCUCCACCCUAAAUUGUAUAAAUCAAUUCAAUUUCUACGAAGUAAAAUACUACUGCAAGUACUGUAAUUUCUCAAAAUGGAGCCAAUGCAUGCUGAUACAAAUCACAACUAAUUUAAAAAAAAUUCUAUGUUAAUAUUAGGCAUUUUCAAAUAUAGGAAUAUUUUACCCAAAGCAUACAUUCUAGAAAACAUAAAUCCUAGAUAAAUCAGUUGCAUAUUAGUUUCUUGUGAUGAAUUACCACAAACUUAGUGGUGUUUAUUUUUUCACAGUUCUGGAGGCUAAAGGAUCACUGGACUGAAACCAGGGUCUUGGAAGAGCGCCCCCUCUGGAGGCUCCAGGAAAGAAUCUAUUUUUUACCUCUUCUAGCUUUUGGUGGUUGCUGGCUUUCCUUGGCUUGUAGCCACAACACUUUAAUCUUCAAGGCCAGAAUCUUCCAAUCUCUGCUCCAUCUUCACAGAGUCUUCUGUGUGUGUCAAAUUUCUUUUGCCUCCUUAUCAUAAAGAUAGGUAUAAUUGCAUCUAGGGUCCAGCCAAAUAAUCCAGGAUAAUCCUCAUAAUUCAAUAUCUUUAACUUAAUCACAUGUGCAAACACUUCUUUUUUUUCCCCCCAUAUAGUCCCAGGAAUUUGAACAUGAAUACCUGUUAGGGAGCUAUUUUUCAGCCUACCUUAGACCUCAAUGGGAGAGACCUAAUGUUAACAGGAAAAGAUGUGUGCAAUAAUAAAUACUUGACAACUACUGUGUGCUAGCACUAUGCUAGGCAGAGAUGAUGUGACUGAAACAAGACAGUUAAUUGUCCCUGUCUCCGUAGAGUUUACCAACCUGGAGGGCCUGAUAGCAUCCAUUUCUCCACCAAGUAGGUAGAAAGAACAUUUUUAGAGACUGGGGAUAGUUGGUAGGAAGUUUGAAAAAUAUAGGGAAGGCUGGAAAUCACUGUUGAAUGAAAGUAGAGACAAAAACAUGGGACAAAUAGGAUUUCUGGGACCAUCAGAGGGUCCAAAUAUAGUUACCAUUAGUGUUCAUAUAUUUCUAAUUCUUCCCCUUCUGAGCUCAUAGCUGACUUUCAUCUACUAUCUCUGUAUAACUAUUUCCAGCUGAUGAAUUAACAGACAAACUAAGUGUUACCACUGGAGGAAGUUUUAAUUGCCAGUGGAAAAUCCUCCAGAAUUCUUUUCCUCUGUCACAACAAUAAAGACAUAUUCCAAGCAGUGGGUACUUUGUCGUGCUGGAUUUCAUGUUUGACAUGGAGGAGAAUGGCUAGCCUAUCAGCAAUGAACAUGCAGUGUGAACAAGCAGUAUGCCUUUGCUUUAAGCUAAUUUGAGAUUAUGUAUUAUUUCAGCCUAACCUAGCUUAUCCUUUCUGAUAUAUCAGAUAUAGUUAGAAACCAGGACAUUUGUAAGAUGAAUUAUUUGGUUUUCUUUGUCAAUUUUCAGAAGGAGGCACAGUCCCUGAUGGAGGAGUUUAUUUAGGGUUGAUAAUGUGUCAGGAGAGGAUUGAGAAGGACAGAAGACAAAGUAUAAUCAGUUACAAAACUCUUAGCUUUAGAAUUUUAUUGUCGUUGAAUCUAAUUCUAUAGUUAAAAACAAUAAUAAUAACAUCCACCUAAUUUGAUGCAAUAUUGGAGAAUUUAAAACUAUGAAAAAAUACAUUAUCUCCAUGGAUCCUCAUAUUAACUCUUUGAAUUAGAUGACACUUUUUCCCUUUUAUGAGAUGAAGAAACUGUGGUGUGGUGAUGGCGUGUCUGUUUUCCAAAGUCUGGCUCUUUAGUUAGCAGUGCUUGUAUGUAACUCAUUCUUACUGUACUAGGUUCUAGGGAUGGAAUCCUGGUGCUGAGAAGAGUUUAUAGUGAAGGAAUCAGUGCUAGUACCAGAUCUCAUGGUCAUAUGGCAGAAUUGGGACAAAGAUUUUCUGUCUUCUAGAGAAAUCACAGUUCUUUUAAUUUCAGUUUCCAUUUUUAGUCAUUAUGCCAUGUGUCCUCUUAAGUACUAUAAACCCUAAUUCAGAUGGCAGGAGAGGAUGAUGAGGCCGUGAAUAUGGAGACUCAAUCAGUUCCUCUCUCAGCUCAUCACUCUCUUGCUAUUAUCAAGGUUUUAGAGCACUUUCUGAAUUAAACCAAUAGUGCUGUUAGGUUUACAUGUGCUGUGUAGAUUUGGUAUGAAAUAGCGGAAAAAUAUGUAUAUAUAGUUUUUUGUCUGUGCCUGUGGCAUGUGGAAGUUCCAGGGACAGGGUGCAAACCUGUGCUGCUGCAGUGACAACACAGGAUACUUACUUAGCUCUUGGAUUAAACUGCAAGUAUAAGAGCUAGAAAAUCCUAUGCUUCCAGCUUUGUGCUGAAUUCUAAUACUAAAACUUCUUGCAAGUCACUCAGUUCACUGAUGGUAGAAACAAAUAGCUUUCAUAUACCUUUAAAAUCUGAAGUUAAUCAAGGCUGAGUACUAAGUCACUAGGUGGUUGAAUUUCUGUAUCUUCUGUGAAUAUUUCUUUUGUCAUUUCAUUUAGAAACCAAAUAUAAUUUUGUUAUUAGAAUUAUAAAAAUGUAGCUCCUGAAUUCUGUUUCAGUUGCUGACAUGUAUCAUUAUGGAGAGAAGAAUUAUACUUUCUCAGCAAUCUAUACAGAACUAAUGGCCUCACCACUCUCUGGUGGCAGCUUAAUGAAAUGCAAGUGCAAGUAUCAGAAUCUUUGUAGUUGGGUAUGGAAAUAUUAAUGAAGCUUGUGAUCUAAAUUUGGGAGUUGUGGACAUUUGGAUGUUCACAAAGAUCCAUAACAAUUGUUGAGAUCUUUUAGAGAAAGUGCAGUGCUUAAAAGGAGAGGGAAACCUAGGACACAUCUCUGAAAAACUCCAAUAUUUAAGAGGAGUACAAGAGGAGAUUUAGAAAGGUAUUGUGAAAGAUGUAGGCUGGCAGCUACAGCUCUGAUUUGAUCCCUAGCCUGGAAACCUCUGUAUGCCGUGGUAUGGCCAG
rnacentral:lncRNA from 1 species